rnacentral:lncRNA from 1 species
AUAGUUUCUGAAUGCAGGAUAAUAAGGGCUGCACAACAUAUACAACUUCAGGACUUAAAUAAGGUUACAUACUUGGCCCACCUGACUAUUCAAUCCGAAUUGAUCCAGAGAAUAAAGGAAGCCCACUAACCGAUUCCACUAUAACAACUCUCAAAAAGGAUGCAGAACAGAGAGUAAAUCCAGAAUUUCGAGUCUCUGCCGAUGGGUUGCUCAGAUUUUAGAAC